GACGAACGCUGGCGGCGUGCUUAACACAUGCAAGUCGAACGCUGAAGCUCAGCUUUUGUUGGGUGGAUGAGUGGCGAACGGGUGAGUAACACGUGAGUAACCUGCCCCCUUCUUUGGGAUAACGCCCGGAAACGGGUGCUAAUACUGGAUAUUCACUGGUCUUCGCAUGGGGGUUGGUGGAAAGGGUUUUUCUGGUGGGGGAUGGGCUCGCGGCCUAUCAGCUUGUUGGUGGGGUGAUGGCCUACCAAGGCUUUGACGGGUAGCCGGCCUGAGAGGGUGACCGGUCACAUUGGGACUGAGAUACGGCCCAGACUCCUACGGGAGGCAGCAGUGGGGAAUAUUGCACAAUGGGCGAAAGCCUGAUGCAGCGACACCGCGUGAGGGAUGGAGGCCUUCGGGUUGUGAACCUCUUUCGCUCAUGGUCAAGCCGCAACAAUGGUUGUGGUGAGGGUAGUGGGUAAAGAAGCGCCGGCUAACUACGUG
rnacentral:rRNA from 1 species